rnacentral:rRNA from 1 species
AACAGCUCACUGGUCUAAAUAAGUUGUCUUGCGGCGAAGAUGUAACGGGGCUCAAGCCAUGAGCCGAAGCUUAGGAUGCCGUAAGGCAUGGUAGCGGAGCGUAGUGUGAUAUAGGACUUAUCCUUUACUGCCGCCGGUCGUACGGAGCGUGGAAACACGCUCAAGUAGCCGAUAGGCGGUAGCGCAGGAGAAAGUCUUUUCUGUGAAGCCGGCCUGUGAGGGAUCCGGUGGAGAGAUCACUAGCGAGAAUGAUGACAUGAGUAGCGACAAAGAGUGUGAGAGACACUCUCGCCGAAAGUCCAAGGGUUCCUGCUUAAAGCUAAUCUGAGCAGGGUAAGCCGGCCCCUAAGCCGAGGCCGAAAGGCGUAGGCGAUGGGAACCACGUUAAUAUUCGUGGGCCAGAUGGAAGUGACGGAUCUCGAAGAUUGUUCCUCCUUAUCGGAUUGGAGGGGCCGUUCAGAGGUUCCUGGAAAUAGCUCCAUCAUCAGACCGUACCCUAAACCGACACAGGUGGACUGGUAGAGAAUACCAAGGCGCUUGAGAGAACGAUGUUGAAGGAACUCGGCAAAAU